rnacentral:rRNA from 1 species
UACAGAGGUCUCAAGCGUUGUUCGGAAUUACUGGGCGUAAAGGGUGCGCAGGCCGCGCGGGCAGUCAAAUGUGUAAUUCAGGGGCUCAACCCCUGGACUGCGAUUGAUACUUCCGUGCUAGAACCUUGGAGAGGAGUCUGGAAUUCUCGGUGUAGCAGUGAAAUGCGUGGAUAUCGAGAAGAACACUAAGGGCGUAAGCAAGACUCUGGACAAGUGUUGACGCUCAAGCACGAAGGCUAGGGUAGCGAACGGG